UGCGCUAAAAUAUUUUUAUCUUUUCAUACCCGAUGUCAGUAUAGUCAUAAUGGAGUAUUUAGUUAUAUUAUUGUUUGGUGUUCUAAAGGUAUCUGCGCAAUUCUACAACAUUUUCAGUGAAAACCCGAUAAAACCAGAAAAAUGUAUGGGAUCGGAUGAUAUUUUAUUAGAUCGGCACUGUUGUAUUGUACCAGCAUUUUUUGAUCGCUUCGUGGUGCGAUCAUGUGGUGGCAUUACGGAGAUAUUUGAAGUUCACAAAAAGGAAGGAGUCGCUUUGGGACGGCGUCAUUUUGUUCCAGACUGCACUUUCUGGGAAUGUGUUUUAAAAAAAUAUAAAAUGCUUAACGAUGACAAUACUGUUAGUACCGAAAAAUUUUACACGCACUUAGAGAAAUGGGCAUUGUUGAACAAGCCAUUUAGUACUCUAUUGCUGAGUGCGAAGAUUCACUGCAGACAAUACUUCAUAAUGUUUAUGCCGCUAUCCACUUGUGAAUUUUACAACUUUCUACUAUGCUUCAGAGAUUAUUUGAAACUAUAUGACUGUCCAGUAUUAAUACAAUCACAGAAAUGUUACGAAUGGAAGGAAUUCUUCGACGAGUGCA